rnacentral:rRNA from 1 species
UACAGAGGUCCCAAGCGUUGUUCGGAUUCAUUGGGCGUAAAGGGUGCGUAGGUGGCGCGCUAAGUCAGGUGUGAAAUUCCGGAGCUUAACUCCGAAACUGCAUUUGAUACUGGCGUGCUUGAGGACUGGAGAGGAGACUGGAAUUUACGGUGUAGCAGUGAAAUGCGUAGAGAUCGUAAGGAAGACCAGUGGCGAAGGCGGGUCUCUGGACAGUUCCUGACACUGAGGCACGAAGGCCAGGGGAGCAAACGGG